AUUGAACGCUGGCGGCAUGCCUUACACAUGCAAGUCGAACGGCAGCACGGGGCAACCUGGUGGCGAGUGGCGAACGGGUGAGUAAUGCAUCGGAACGUACCUUUCAGUGGGGGAUAACGUAGCGAAAGUUACGCUAAUACCGCAUAUUCUGUGAGCAGGAAAGCAGGGGGUCGCAAGACCUUGCGCUGAUUGAGCGGCCGAUGUCAGAUUAGCUAGUUGGUGAGGUAAAGGCUCACCAAGGCGACGAUCUGUAGCGGGUCUGAGAGGAUGAUCAGCCGCACUGGAACUGAGAGACGGUCCGGACGCCUACGGGAGGCAGCAGAGGGGAAUUUUGGACAAUGGGGGCAACCCUGAUCCAGCGAUGCCGCGUGGUUGAAUAAGGCCUUCUGGUUGAAAAGCUCUUUCGGCCUGGAAGAAAUCCCACGGGCUAAUACCCUGUGUGGAUGACGGUACCGGAAUAAGAAGCACCGGCUAACUACGUGCAAGCCGCCGCCGUAA
rnacentral:rRNA from 1 species